rnacentral:lncRNA from 1 species
UUGGCUGUAUGUGAGAGUUCACAAGAGAGGUUAAGAAUAUUGUACACAAAGAUUUUUGAUGUUCCUGAGAAAAUGCCUAAAAAUGCCACAUAUAGAAGACCAAUAUUUGAUGACUUCAGGGUGGCCAAAUAAAAGAGGUGAUUUUUUCAGUCUGAAGAUGAACUAAGCCUGGUGAGAAAAAUUAUGCAAAGGUAACUAUGGGCACUGUUAAUGGAAGAGCCUCCUGACAAUUACUGGAAAUA